rnacentral:rRNA from 2 species
GGCCCAGACUCCUACGGGAGGCAGCAGUAGGGAAUCUUCCGCAAUGGACGAAAGUCUGACGGAGCAACGCCGCGUGAGUGAUGAAGGUUUUCGGAUCGUAAAACUCUGUUGUUAGGGAAGAACAAGUACCGGAGUAACUGCCGGUACCUUGACGGUACCUAACCAGAAAGCCACGGCUAACUACGUGCCAGCAGCCGCGGUAAUACGUAGGUGGCAAGCGUUGUCCGGAAUUAUUGGGCGUAAAGCGCGCGCAGGCGGUUCCUUAAGUCUGAUGUGAAAGCCCCCGGCUCAACCGGGGGGGGGUCAUUGGAAACUGGGGAACUUGAGUGCAGAAGAGAAGAGUGGAAUUCCACGUGUAGCGGUGAAAUGCGUAGAGAUGUGGAGGAACACCAGUGGCGAAGGCGACUCUUUGGUCUGUAACUGACGCUGAGGCGCGAAAGCGUGGGGAGCAAACAGGAUUAGAUACCCUGGUAGUCCACGCCGUAAACGAUGAGUGCUAAGUGUUAGAGGGUUUCCGCCCUUUAGUGCUGCAGCAAACGCAUUAAGCACUCCGCCUGGGGAGUACGGCCGCAAGGCUGAAACUCAAAGGAAUUGACGGGGGCCCGCACAAGCCGGUGGAGCAUGUGGUUUAAUUCGAAGCAACGCGAAGAAACCUUACCAAGGUCUUGACAUCUUCCUGACAAACCCUAGAAGAUAAGGGCGUUCCCCUUUCGGGGGGACAGGAUGGACAGGUGGGUGCAUGGUUUGUCGUCCAGCUCGUGUCCCUGAGAAUGUUGGGGUUUAAGUCCCGCCAACCGAGCGCCAACCCCUUGAAUCUUAAGUUGCCAGCCAUUCCAGUUUGGGCACUCUUAAAGGUGAACUGCCGGUGACAAACCGGAGGAAGGUGGGGAUGACGUCAAAUCAUCAUGCCCCUUAUGACCUGGGCUACACACGUGCUACAAUGGAUGGUACAAAGGGCUGCGAGACCGCGAGGUUAAGCGAAUCCCAUAAAACCAUUCUCAGUUCGGAUUGCAGGCUGCAACUCGCCUGCAU